ensembl:lncRNA
CAGAGACAGAGCGAGAGCCAGAGUCAGAGAGAGAGCCAGAGACAGAGCGAGAGCCAGAGUCAGAGAGAGAGCGAGAGACAGAGUCAGAGAGAGAGCCACAGACAGAGAGAGAGCCAGAGAGAGAGCCACAGACAGAGAGAGAGCCAGAGAGAGAGACAGAGACAGAGAGAGAGCCACAGACAGAGAGAGAGCCAGAGAGAGAGCCAGAGACAGAGAGAGAGCCAAAGAGAGAGCCACAGACAGAGAGAGAGCCAGAGUCAGAGAGAGAGCCACAGACAGAGAGAGCCAGAGAGAGAGCCACAGACAGAGAGAGAGCCAGAGUCAGAGAGAGAGCCACAGACAGAGAGAGAGCCAGAGAGAGAGCCACAGACAGAGAGAGAGCCAGAGAGAGAGCCAGAGACAGAGAGAGAGCCACAGACAGAGAGAGAGCCAGAGAGAGAGCCAGAGACAGAGAGAGAGCCAAAGAGAGAGCCAGAGACAGAGCGAGAGCCAGAGUCAGAGAGAGAGCCACAGACAGAGAGAGAGCCAGAGAGAGAGCCAGAGUGAGAGCCAGAGAGAGAGCCAGAGACAGAGCCAGAGACAGAGAGAGAGCCAGAGACAGAGAGAGAGCCAGAGACAGAGAGAGAGCCAGAGACAGAGAGAGAGAGCCAGAGACAGAGCCACAGACAGAGAGAGAGAGCCAGAGAGAGAGACAGAGACAGAGAGAGAGCCAGAGACAGAGCCAGAGUCAGAGAGAGAGCCACAGACAGAGAGAGAGCCAGAGAGAGAGCCACAGACAGAGAGAGAGCCAGAGCGAGAGCCACAGACAGAGAGAGAGCCAGAGAGAGAGCCAGAGACAGAGCCAGAGACAGAGCCAGAGAGAGAGCCAGAGAGAGAGCCAGAGACAGAGAGAGAGCCAGAGACAGAGAGAGAGCCAGAGAGAGAGCCAGAGACAGAGAGAGAGCCAGAGACAGAGAGAGAGAGCCAGAGACAGAGCCACAGACAGAGAGAGAGCCAAAGAGAGAGCCACAGACAGAGAGAGAGCCACAGACAGAGAGAGAGCCACAGACAGAGAGAGAGCCACAGACAGAGAGAGAGAGCCACAGACAGACAGUCAAAGACAGACAGAGACCGAGCACAUUUGGUCACCCCACCAGUAGGGUAUAAAAUAUAAA